rnacentral:rRNA from 1 species
GACGAACGCUGGCGGCGUGCCUAAUACAUGCAAGUCGAACGCAGUGGGGACGGGUGAGUAACACGUGGGUAACCUCCCAUCAGAGGGGAUAACCCUUGGAUACAGGUGCUAAACCGAUACUGAUGGAUGGACCCGGGGUGGAUUAGCUUGUUGGGGGGGUAACGGCUCACCAAGGCCACGAUGCCUAGCCGACCUGAGAGGGUGAUCGGCCACACUGGGACUGAGACACGGCCCAGACUCCUACGGGAGGCAGCAGUGGGGAAUCUUGGGCAAUGGACGAAAGUCUGACCGAGCCACGCCGCGUGUAUGAAGAAGGUUUUCGGGUCGUAAAGCUCUGUUGUUAGAGAAGCGGUAUCUAACCAGAAAGCCACGGCUAACUCCGUGCCAGCAGCCGCGGUAAUAC